GGUCCAGCCUGCCCAGUGACUCUGUUCAACGGCCGCGGUAUCCUAACCGUGCGAAGGUAGCGUAAUCACUUGUUCUUUAAAUGAGGACUAGUAUGAAUGGCACCACGAAGGUUAUACUGUCUCCUUUUUCUAAUCAGUGAAACUGAUCUUCCCGUGAAGAAGCGGGAAUAAAAAUAUAAGACGAGAAGACCCUAUGGAGCUUUAAACUCACAUAACAACUGCUUACAACAUUAUUUACUUCAGAGCAUCAACCUACACUGAAGCACCCUGAUUAUGAGUUUUAGGUUGGGGUGACCACGGAGCAAAAAACAACCUCCGCAAUGAACGGGGAUUCCCCCCUAAACUAAGGACUACAACCCUAAGAAUCAACAAAUUGACAUCAAUUGACCCAAUUUACUUGAUCAAUGAACCAAGUUACCCUAGGGAUAACAGCGCAAUCCACUUCAAGAGCUCCUAUCGACAAGUGGGUUUACGACCUCGAUGUUGGAUCAGGGUAUCCCAGUGGUGCAGCCGCUACUAACGGUUCGUUUGUUCAACGAUUAAAACCCUACGUGAUCUG
rnacentral:rRNA from 1 species